AGAGGUAGGACCACCGCAGGAGGAAGGGUAAGGUUUUAGCUCUUAGCUCUGACCUCUUGGCUUUCUUCUUUGCAUUGGUUCUGUGUUUCUUAUUUAAUAAGAAGGUUGGAUACAUCUACAUUGGAGGUCAUUUUUUUUUUAAUUGAAGACUUGAAGAAUUCACUACUCCGAUGUUCCGGGCCACGCGGGUCCUGCAGAGUCUCCGGCUGCAUGCCUCAGCUCAGCCACAUCCGAAGGGAGGGGCGGGUAUCUCUUUUGUAUAAUAUCAUAUCAUCUACAAAUAGGGAUGAUUUGAGUUCUUAUUUUCCUAUUUGUAUCCCUUUAAUUUUCUUCUCUUGUCUUUCUUGCUCCAAUUAAUGCUUCCAGGACUAUAUUGAAAAGAAGUUGGGAUGUCUCCAUGUUCAUUUCUGAUUGUGUUCAUUUGAGUAAUCUCUUACUUUCUUUUGGUUAUUUGGGCUAAGGGUCUGUCAAUCUUCUUUAUCUUCUCAAAGAACCAGCUCUCAUAUUCAUUGAGUCAUUGUAUUGUUUUAUUUGUUACUAUCUCUUUAAUUUCUGCUUUGAUUUUUAUUAUUUGUUGUCUACUGGGUUUGGGUUUGGUUUGUUCUUGUUUUUCUAAAUUAUUGAGUUGCAUCAUUAAGUUAUUUGUACUUUUUCAGAUCUUUUAAUGUAAGACAGUUAUAAACUUCCCUCUUAAUGUGUCCCAGAGUGGUAUGGAAUUAAUAUUAAAAUAAUUCUAACUAGACAAAGAUGUGUUACAUUUGUUUAUUCUGUAGAAUAUCACUUUAACUGUAUAAAGGUGUGUUACAUUUGUUUGUGCUGUAUUUGUUUAAUGAUGUAAGGAUGUGUGUUUAAUUAUGUAAAGAAGUAUUGCAUUUGUUUCACCUUGCCUGCCUAAGGCACCUGGUUGGUCUAAUAAAGAGCUGAAUGGCCCAUAGCUAGGCAGAGAGAGGAUAGGUAGGGCUGGUGGGCAGAGAGAAUAAGUAGGAGAAAUCUACACUUGAGAGAAAAGAAGGAGGAGAGAACAAGGGAGAAAGAAAGGGAUACACCUGGGGCCAACCAAGCAUCUACCAGCCAUCCAAACAUAGAGACAGCAGGAAAGUAAGAUAUAAAGAAAGGUAAAAACCCUGAGGCAAAACAUAGAUAAAAAGAAACAAAUUAAAAUAAUAGUUAAGAAAAGGCUGAGCGUUCAUAACUAAUAUUAAGUCUCCAUAUCAUGAUUUGUGAACUUGUUGGUAUCACAAAAGAAAAAUCCUGGGAUCCCAGAGUUUUUGUUGUAUUUUUCUUUUUGUUUACUUUCAGGAAUACUUUUUCAUUUUUUUCUUGAUUUCUUCUUUGACCCAUUCAUCAUUCAGUAAAAAGUUGUUUAAUUUCCAUGAGUAUAUACACUUACUAAAAUUUUGUUUGCUUUUGAUUUUAAAUUUUAUUGCAUAAUGGCUCGAUAGGAUGCAUGGAAUUGUUUCAAUUUUUCUGUAUUUUUUAAGGUUUUUUUAUGUUCCUGGUUGUGGUCUAUUUUAGAGAAGCUUCCACAUGCUAAUGAGUAAAAUUUUCUCCAGAACUUUUAUGGGAAGGAACAUUGAACUUUGUCAAAGGCUUCUUCUACAUCUAUUAAGGUAAAUCCAUGGAUCCCUGGAAGUUCUUGAUAUUGUUGAUGUAUGACUUCUUCACAUUGAAAUAUUAGCUGCCUGCUGAUCUAGAUGAAGAAAUCUCAGCUCCUUUUCUAGCAGCUUGCCUGCCUGCAGGCCACCAUGCUUCACACCAUGAUGAUAAUGGACUAAACCUCUGAACUGUAAGCCAGUCCCAAUUAAAUGUUUUUCUUUAUAAGAGUUGUCAAGGG